UAAAAAGAAGCUUUGUAGAAGCAUAAAAUUUUUAAUUUUAUGAAGUGGAGUAUACAUCCGCCUUUUUAA
rnacentral:tRNA from 1 species